rnacentral:rRNA from 1 species
GAUGAACGCUGGCGGCGUGCCUAAUACAUGCAAGUCGAGCGAACAGAUGAGGAGCUUGCUCCUCUGACGUUAGCGGCGGACGGGUGAGUAACACGUGGAUAACCUACCUAUAAGACUGGGAUAACUUCGGGAAACCGGAGCUAAUACCGGAUAAUAUAUUGAACCGCAUGGUUCAAUAGUGAAAGACGGUUUUGCUGUCACUUAUAGAUGGAUCCGCGCCGCAUUAGCUAGUUGGUAAGGUAACGGCUUACCAAGGCAACGAUGCGUAGCCGACCUGAGAGGGUGAUCGGCCACACUGGAACUGAGACACGGUCCAGACUCCUACGAUAGGCAGCAGUAGGGAAUCUUGCGCAAUGGGCGAAAGCCUGACGGAACAACGCCGCGUGAGUGAUGAAGGUCUUCGGAUCGUAAAACUCUGUUAUUAGGGAAGAACAAAUGUGUAAGUAACUAUGCACGUCUUGACGGUACCUAAUCAGAAAGCCACGGCUAACUACGUG